rnacentral:rRNA from 1 species
CAGCCGCCGCGGGAAUACAGAGGGUGCGAGCGUUAAUCGGAUUUACUGGGAGUAAAGCGUGCGUAGGCGGCUUUUUAAGUCGGAUGUGAAAUCCCUGAGCUUAACUUAGGAAUUGCAUUCGAUACUGGGAAGCUAGAGUAUGGGAGAGGAUGGUAGAAUUCCAGGUGUAGCGGUGAAAUGCGUAGAGAUCUGGAGGAAUACCGAUGGCGAAGGCAGCCAUCUGGCCUAAUACUGACGCUGAGGUACGAAAGCAUGGGGAGCAAACAGGAUUAGAUACCCGAGUAGUCCCUGUCUCUUAUAC